rnacentral:tRNA from 1 species
AAAUGAAGUGCCUGAUAAAAAGGAUUAUUUUGAUAGAAUAAAUCAUGUAAAUUUUUACCUUCAUUA